UAGGGAAUCUUGGGCAAUGGGCGCAAGCCUGACCCAGCCAUGCCGCGUGUGUGAAGAAGACCUUCGGGUUGUAAAGCACUUUCAGUAGCGAAGAAAAGCCUGGAGCUAAUACCUCUGGGUCUUGACGUUAGCUACAGAAGAAGCACCGGCUAACUCCGUGCCAGCAGCCGCGGUAAUACGGAGGGUGCGAACGUUAAUCGGAAUUACUGGGCGUAAAGCGCGCGUAGGCGGUUCGGUAAGUGGGAUGUGAAAGCCCUGGGCUUAACCUGGGAACUGCAUUCCAAACUGCCGGGCUAGAGUAUGGUAGAGGGAGGUAGAAUUUCCUGUGUAGCGGUGAAAUGCGUAGAUAUAGGAAGGAACACCAGUGGCGAAGGCGACUUCCUGGGCCAAUACUGACGCUGAGGUGCGAAAGCGUGGGGAGCAAACCAGGAUUAGAUACCCUGGUAGUCCACGCUGUAAACGAUGAGAACUAGAUGUUGGGAGGGUUACCUCUCGGUGUCGCAGCUAACGCGUUAAGUUCUCCGCCUGGGGAGUACGCCGGCAACGGUA
rnacentral:rRNA from 1 species